UGGGGAAUAUUGGACAAUGGGGGCAACCCUGAUCCAGCAAUGCCGCGUGUGUGAAGAAGGCCUGCGGGUUGUAAAGCACUUUCAGUAGAGAAGAAAAGCCUAAGGUUAAUAACCUUGAGUCUUGACGUAACCUACAGAAGAAGCACCGGCUAACUCCGGUGCCAGCAGCCGCGGUAAUACGGAGGGUGCAAGCGUUAAUCGGAAUUACUGGGCGUAAAGCGCACGUAGGUGGUUUUGUAAGUCGGAUGUGAAAGCCCUGGGCUCAACCUGGGAAUUGCAUUCGAUACUGCUUAACUAGAGUAUGGUAGAGGGAAGUGGAAUUUCCGGUGUAGCGGUGAAAUGCGUAGAUAUCGGAAGGAACACCAGUGGCGAAGGCGACUUCCUGGGCCAAUACUGACACUGAGGUGCGAAAGCGUGGGUAGCAAACAGGAUUAGAUACCCACGUAGUCCCUGAGCGGGCUGGCAAGGCGCAU
rnacentral:rRNA from 1 species